UAGACACUGACCCUCGGCUCAAAGUGAUAAAAUCCUAAGCAGUCUUUGCUCCACCUGCCCAAACUUCUCUCCGGAGUUCAGAGAUCAGGGAUUCAUACAUCUCAACACCUCCAUUCUUGCAGGUGCUUGAACAAGUGACUUACUUACAAUCCAUCCUCAUUAGCCAUGUGAUGCACCCAGUUAGAUCUUACCAGGAUGGAAUUGACUUCUUUGGAUGUUGCAAUGGCCUGUUUUUUUUUUGUUUUUUUUUAAGGCAUGUUAGUAAGUAUUAAUCGCUUGUUCUUAUCUUAUGGAAUCCAACAACACGAGUGUAAGAAGAUACCAUUUCCAACAUUUUCAGAAGCGGAAAAAUGCUUGAGUUACGCAGAGUAUGGAAUUGGGAAUUUUGAAGGUAGUUAUGAGGUUAUGGUGUAUCCGUUGAAAAAUAACAAAUGGAAAGGAGUUGAGGAAAUCUAUAUCGAUACUCUUGUUCACCGAAAUGUACCUGAUAGGGCUCGGAUGCCUGUUAACGGAGCUCUGCACUGGAUAGCAGAUGUGGAAAGCCUGUUAAGUUAACCAGAUGCCACAGCCUUAAUUACCUGAGUGAUGAAAAUGCUGGAAUGAGUUUGUGUGUUUUAGGAGGAUCUCUGUGCUUGCUUGGCUUUGAUCCUGAGGUUGGUGCAGAUGUGAGGGAGAUGAAGCAAGAUGAGAUGUAAAAUCAUGGAACAAGCUAUUCACAGUUGAAGUAUUUAACGCCCUUGCUUAAGUAUAAUGCUACCAGUUGGGGUGAAAAAUGGUGUGACUGCACAAUUGAAAGGGUCAAAACGAAAAGAAAAAAACUGUCUUCCUAGCAACAGCAUCCUGAGGAUCAGGUGUUGAAUAAAAGAUUUUAGCUGAUAAUUGGAAGCCAUCUCGUAUGUGCUUAAAUUUUUAUGGAAAUUCACAAUUGCUUA